rnacentral:rRNA from 1 species
GACGAACGCUGGCGGCGUGCUUAACACAUGCAAGUCGAACGGAAAGGCCCUGCUUUUGUGGGGUGCUCGAGUGGCGAACGGGUGAGUAACACGUGAGUAACCUGCCCUUGACUUUGGGAUAACUUCAGGAAACUGGGGCUAAUACCGGAUAGGAGCUCCUGCUGCAUGGUGGGGGUUGGAAAGUUUCGGCGGUUGGGGAUGGACUCGCGGCUUAUCAGCUUGUUGGUGGGGUAGUGGCUUACCAAGGCUUUGACGGGUAGCCGGCCUGAGAGGGUGACCGGCCACAUGGGGACUAAGAUACGGCCCAGACUCCUACGGGAGGCAGCAGUGGGGAAUAUUGCACAAUGGGCGGAAGCCUGAUGCAGCAACGCCGCGUGCGGGAUGACGGCCUUCGGGUUGUAAACCGCUUCCGCCUGUGACGAAGCGUGAGUGACGGUAAUGAGUAAAGAAGCACCGGCUAACUACGUG